rnacentral:rRNA from 1 species
CAGUAGCCGCGGUAAUACCGAGGGUGCGAGCGUUAAUCGGAAUUACUGGGCGUAAAGGGCGCGUAGGCGGUUAGGAAGGUGUGAUGUGAAAGCCCUGGGCUUAACCUAGGAAGUGCAUCGCAAACCAACUAGCUGGAGUAUAAGAGAGGGUGGCGGAAUUUCCGGUGUAGCGGUGAAAUGCGUAGAGAUCGGAAGGAACGUCAAUGGCGAAGGCAGCCACCUGGCUUAAUACUGACGCUGAGGCGCGAAAGCGUGGGGAGCGAACAGGAUUAGAUACCCGAGUAGUCCCUGUCUCUUAUAC